rnacentral:misc_RNA from 1 species
AACAUCGCGCACCUGCGGGAACCUGCGGAAGGAUCAUUACCGAGUUUACAACUCCCAAACCCCUGUGAACAUACCUAUACGUUGCCUCGGCGGAUCAGCCCGCGCCCCGUAAAAAGGGACGGCCCGCCCGAGGACCCCUAAACUCUGUUUUUAGUGGAACUUCUGAGUAAAACAAACAAAUAAAUCAAAACUUUCAGCAACGGAUCU